rnacentral:rRNA from 1 species
GACGAACGCUGGCGGCGUGCUUAAUACAUGCAAGUCGAACGCAGUGGGGACGGGUGAGUAACACGUGCGUAACAUCCCCAUCAGAGGGGAUAACACUUGGAAACAGGUGCUAAACCGCUCUUGAAGUAUGACCCAGCGGUGCAUUAGCUAGUUGGUGAGGUAACGGCGCACCAAGGCCACGAUGCCUAGCCGACCUGAGAGGGGGAUCGGCCACACUGGGACUGAGACACGGCCCAGACUCCUACGGGAGGCAGCAGUAGGGAAUCUUCGGCAAUGGACGAAAGUCUGACCGAGCAACGCCGCGUGAGUGAAGAAGGUUUUCGGAUCGUAAAACUCUGUUGUUAGAGAAGCGGUAUCUAACCAGAAAGCCACGGCUAACUACGUGCCAGCCGCCGCGGUAAUUC